rnacentral:rRNA from 1 species
GACGAACGCUGGCGGCGUGCUUAACACAUGCAAGUCGAACGAAGUGGCGAACGGGUGAGUAACGCGUAAUCAACCUGCCCUUCAGCGGGGGACAACAGUUGGAAAAGACUGCUAAUACCGCAUACAGAAGGAGGGGAUUGCGUCUGAUUAGCUAGUUGGCGGGAUAACGGCCAACCAAGGCGAUGAUAAGUAGCCGGGCUGAGCGGAGGAACGGCCAGAUGGGGACUGAUAAACGGCCCAGACGCCUAAUGGAGGCAGCAGUGGGGAAUCUUCCGCAAGGGACGAAAGUCUGACGGGGCAACGCCGCGUGAGUGAUGACGGCCUUUGGGUUGUAAAGCUCUGUUAAUCGGGACGCGGUACCGGAAUAGAAAGCCACGGCUAACUACGUGCCAGCCGCCGCGGUAAUAC